UACGGAGGGAACCAGCGUUGGUCGGAAUCACUGGGCGUAAAGCGCGUGUAGGCGGCCUCUUAGGUCUGGUGUGAAAGCCCGGGGCACACCCCCGGAAGGGCACUGGAUACUGGGAGGCUAGAGUACCGGAGAGGAGGGUGGAAUUCCUGGUGUAGCGGUGAAAUGCGUGGAUAUCAGGAGGAACACCGGUGGCGAAGGCGGCCCUCUGGACGGCUACUGACGCUGAGACGCGAGAGCGUGGGGAGCAAACAGG
rnacentral:rRNA from 1 species